rnacentral:rRNA from 1 species
AUGAGGCUACCGGCGUGGCUCACCGCCGUGCCGCCGGACCCCCGCGUGUACGGUGACCUCAUCCAGCGCUGCGCGGAAGCCGGCCACCUCGCCGCCGGCAGGCAGCUCCACGCCCGCCUCGCCACCCUCUCCGUGAUCCCCUCCAACUUCCUCGCCUCCAAGCUCAUCUCACUCUACUCCAGAACCGGACGCCUGCACGACGCCCGCAGGGUGUUCGACGCCAUCCCGCAGCCCAACCUCUUCGCCUGGAACGCCAUCCUCAUCGCGCUCUCCCUCCACUCGCCCCAACCCUCCGCGGCUCUUCGCCUCUUCGCGGCCUCCGACGUGUCCCCCGACGAGAUCACCGUCUCCGCGCUCCUCAAGUCCCUCGCCGCGUCCGGGCCGGGCCUGUCCCCUCUCGUCGCCGGGGAGCUCCACGCCCUCGCGUUCCUGCGCGGGUUUGGCGCGGACCUCUUCGUGUCCAACGGGCUCAUCACCGCCUACGCGAAUGCUGGGGACAUGCGCUCCGCUCGCGCGGUGUUCGACCAAAUGCCACGCAAGGACGUCGUGUCCUGGAACUCUCUUAUAUCAGCGUACGCCAGUGGAGGAUGGUACGCAGAGUGCUUGGAGUUAUUCCAUGAGUUGGUGCAGGCUUGCGCUGGCAGUGGCGUUCGGCCAAACAGCGUCACGGUGACAAGUGUGCUGCAUGCUUGUGCCCAGCUCAAGGCUGUUGAUUUCGGGGCCUAUGUCCUCCGAAUUGCUAAUGAGAGUGGGCUUGAUAUGGACAUUGCAGCAUGGAACUCAGUCGUGGGGUUUUACGCCAAAUGUGGGCGGUUGCACUAUGCACGACAGUUGCUUGAAAGGAUGCCUAAGAAAGAUGCGGUCAGUUACAGCGCCAUGAUUACUGGUUAUAUGAACAAUGGGCAUGUCGAUGAGGCAAUGGAUCUUUUCCGUCAAGCAGAUGCUAAAGGCAUCAACACAUGGAAUGCGUUGAUUUCUGGAUUGAUACAAAAUGGACGCCAGUCUGAUGUUCUUGGAUUGCUUCAUGAGAUGAUGGGUGCUGGGAUACUGCCCAAUACAGCUACUCUUUCAAUCAUCAUGCCCUCAGCACCGUUGUUCUCAACCCUACUGGGAGCAAAGCAAGCUCAUGGUUAUGUGAUAAGAAAUGAUUAUGAUCAGAGCAACAAUGUUGUCAGUGCAUUGAUCGAUGCUUACUCAAAGGCUGGAUUUCUUGAUAUGGCCAGGAAGGUGUUUGAAUUGCAUGAGAAUAGAAGCACAAUUGCCUGGACAUCGAUCAUUUCGGCUGUCGCAGCUCAUGGAGAUGUUACGGAGGCACUGGACCUGUUCAAUCAGAUGGUCAGUGCUGGCACUAGGCCUGAUACUGUAACUUUCACUGUUGUGCUUACUGCAUGUGCUCAUGCGGGCAAGGUAACCGAAGCUCGUGAAUUUUUUCACUCCAUGCAAGCUAUGUUUGGUAUCAGUCCUGUGAUGGAGCAGUAUGCUUGCAUGGUUUCUGUACUCAGCCGUGCUGGUAUGCUUAAAGAUGCACUUGACCUUGUAAACAAGAUGCCUUUUGAGCCAAAUGCAAAGGUCUGGGGUGCACUGCUUAAUGGAGCAGCAGCAGUUGGUGAUGUUGAGCUUGGUCGGUUUGUGUUUGAUCGACUGUUCAUAAUAGAGCCUAAGAACACAGGUAACUAUGUUGUGAUGGCUAAUCUGUACUCAAAUGCUGGCAAAUGGGAAGAAGCUGAAAUCAUAAGGAGCAUGUUGUGGGGAGUUGGAUUGGAGAAAGUUCCUGGGUGUAGCUGGAAUUGA